GAGAGAUCGAACGAUUUUCUUCUUCAGUUCUGUUGGAAUUAACAAUAGACAUUACGUUGGAUAGCAUACGAGGAUCGAACGAUAAAUUUGAUUUCAGAUGAAAAAUAGAUCUGUGGUUCGAUCGGUUUGAAUAAGACUAAGAUAUCUAAGAAGAACUAAGAAGACUAAGUCACCUAAGAUGCGCCAUGCUGUCUACUACGCUCAGCUAAAGUCGACCUCGAUGAGCAACUCCUCAUUGGCUAAGAUCCAAACAUUCGCCGACAAAGAAACGCUUCGGAACUGGAUCUGCUGCUCACGAAGUCGGUUGUCCUCGGAUUCGCACGACACAACGACGAACGACAACGACAACGACAACGACAACUACGAUGAACAAUGGGAUUUUCUAGGAUGAAACGUAAGGGCCGAGAAUCAAGAAGAUAGGAGGAGAAGAAGGAGGAGAAGAAGGUGGGAGGUAGAAGAGGAAGAUCGCGGACCACGUGAAAGGCGAUUUAAAGGCGGUGUGGAGAGGGGGUGGCCUUUAAAAAAAGGAAGGAAUAUGGCGAACCGGUCGCAGCCUCCGCUCGUCAGCUGAGAGCUCAGCUGCAGCCGGGCGCGGUGACCUCGGCGAUACUUCGCGGGAAACCGAGUCAAUUUGCAAAAUGAUAACGGUUUAAGUCUUCUUCUUCUUCUUCUUCUUCUUCUCCUCUAUUCUAUGUCCUCCUCCUCUAUUUCGUUAUUUCGUUUUAUAACGCUAUACAAACUCUACUCCCAAUCUAUUUUCUUUUUUGUUAUAUUAUUUUUCUUUAGUUUCUCUUCUUUAUUAUUCAACUUCUUCGAAAUGCAUUACUCUACUCUCGAGACGUAGACGAGACGCAUCCAAGACUCGAUUAUCCACUUUUUGCGCACCCCAUUUCUCUAUUCUCCUACUUCAACCUACUUUUUUAAAAGCAACUUUGCUGGAUGAGAAGGAGAUAUGUAAUUUAAAGGAAGUAGAUGUGAGAAGGUAUAAAAGUCAGCUUAUUAGGAUUAAUAGAUCUUUUUGUCUAUCGCGCUUUUGGCUCUAUUCUACUCAAAAGAGAGAAAUAGAACCUGUCCAGGAAAUGCAGGGACAACUAGAAGGACACGCAAUGCCGGUCUGGUCUUGGAACGGCCGGCCGUCAGCUGAGAGCUCAGCUGAACGCGAGGAUCACCGGCGUAACCUCAAACCCGCUUUGUACCACUACCAACACAUCAUCACUCUAUUCUUCUCACCACUACUAUUACACUCUCGUAGUUGUCGUCACUGACAUUAACAUUACCAACCAGUAGUGCAUUAUUUCUUCUAGUAUUGCAAUUCUACUACUACUACUGCAUUAUUGCCUUCUUAUCCUUGGUAACCCCUUGUUUCGACUCUCUAUCCAUUUCUGUCUCUCUCAUACACACACAUUCGCUUAUUCAUUCGCUCUCUUUCUCUCUCUCUCCUUAUUUCUUU